rnacentral:rRNA from 1 species
UACGUAGGGCGCAAGCGUUAUCCGGAAUUAUUGGGCGUAAAGGAGCUCGUAGGCGGUUUGUCGCGUCUGCCGUGAAAGUCCGGGGCUCAACUCCGGAUCUGCGGUGGGUACGGGCAGACUAGAGUGAUGUAGGGGAGACUGGAAUUCCUGGUGUAGCGGUGAAAUGCGCAGAUAUCAGGAGGAACACCGAUGGCGAAGGCAGGUCUCUGGGCGAUUAACUGACGCUGAGGAGCGAAAGCGUGGGGAGCAAACAGG